UGGGGCAGUCCCUGUGAGGACAGACAGACACUGCGGGUGGACACCACCCCAGGCACAGCUCUCUGCUACCCCAUGGAUCCCAUAGGCCCCAGGAGGCUGCUCAUGGAGGCUGCAGUGGGUAUCUGGGUAUUUCUGCAGAAAAUGAACACUCCUGGCUCUGAGCAAGCAAGCAGGGCUGGAGGAACAGGCAGGUACCCAGGGCAGGCCCUGGGAGGUGUGUUGUGGUGUGUUGUUCUGAUGCACUCUAGGCAAUCCCUAAAUGCAGCACACACUUGCAUUUGAGCUGCUCCAAAGCUGCACAGGCUCCUCUCCCAGAGAGGUUUGUUGAGCCACCAUGGGCUGUCAGGUCCUGGCUGGAGCAGCUCAGGGUCCUGGGAUGGCUGACAAAAGAGGCCUGGGCUGUCCCCAGGUCACCCUGCUCCUCCUGUGACUUUACCCAGCCCGUGCACAGAUCCCACUUCUCCUCUGGGGCUGCGUUUUCUGCAGCCAAAUAUUCCCAACACAUUCUCUACCUAAUGACAUUAUUUUUCAUCAUUAGGUAUUGCAGUAGAAACAAGGAUUUGGCCAGAAGCAGGUCCUGUUUAAAGCUAAAAGGAGAUCCCGAGUGGAGAAAGAAGAUUCUGUCUAACACUGCAAUUCAGAGCAUUUUGCUGGCUGGUAGUAAAAAGGGAAUGAAACUGG